AUUGAACGCUGGCGGCAGGCCUAACACAUGCAAGUCGAACGAGUGGCGGACGGGUGAGUAAUGCUUGGGAAUCUAGCCUAUGGAGGGGGAUAACUACGGGAAACUGUAGCUAAUACCGCGUACCAUAGGAUGAGCCCAAGUGGGCUUAGGUAGGUGGUGAGGUAAAGGCUCACCAAGCCGGCGACCUAAAGCUGGUCUGAGAGGAUGACACGCCCCACUGCGGCUGAGAUGCGGCCCAGACUCCUACGUGAGGCACCGUUGGGGAUUAUUGCGCAAUGGGGGCAACCUGACGCGGCCAUGCCGCGGGAAUGAGAAGGGCCUUCGGGUUGUAGAGGUCUUUCGGUAGCGAGGCGUUACCUACAGAAUAAGCACCGGCUAACUCCGUGCCAGCAGCCGCGGUAAUAC
rnacentral:rRNA from 1 species